UACGAAGGGGGCUAGCGUUGCUCGGAAUCACUGGGCGUAAAGGGUGCGUAGGCGGGUCUUUAAGUCAGGGGUGAAAUCCUGGAGCUCAACUCCAGAACUGCCUUUGAUACUGAAGAUCUUGAGUUCGGGAGAGGUGAGUGGAACUGCGAGUGUAGAGGUGAAAUUCGUAGAUAUUCGCAAGAACACCAGUGGCGAAGGCGGCUCACUGGCGCGGUACUGACGCUGAGGUGCGAAAGCGUGGGGAGCAAACAGG
rnacentral:rRNA from 1 species